UGGCCUGACGAACAGGAAUCGCAUAUAAGGCAUACAUGCCGGACAAGGAGGCCAUCAUCUCUAAAGUCCUGUACUUAUCCGGAAGGCAUGGAUGUAGAUGCGGCAGGUAUAAG
rnacentral:autocatalytically_spliced_intron from 1 species